rnacentral:piRNA from 1 species
UGCCCAGAAGCUUUGAGCGCCGCUGUCAAGA